AUGUCAAUCAAGAAACAUUAUUCUGGAGCUGAUGAUGCUGAGGCGAUUUUUUUGAAUUUCCAGUCAAAUUUUUUAGGUCGUAAAGGAUAUUUGCCCCGUUGGCGCCUUUUUUAAACUCCAUUUUAAAAAAUAAAUACAGAAAAUAAAAGAAGCUACAAAUUUAUCAUUGAUUCAAGAAGCUAAAGAUUUAUUAUUGAUUCAAGAAGCUAAAGAUUUAAAAAUACAGAAAAUAAAAGAAAAGAUUUAUCAUUGAUUCAAGAAGCUAAUCAUUGAUUCAAGAAGCUAAAGAUUUAAAAACAGAAAAUAAAAGAAGCUAAAGAUUUAUUAUUGAUUCAAGAAGCUAAAGAUUUAUUAUUGAUUCAAGAAGCUAAUCAUUGAAUCAAGAAGCUAAAGAUUUAAAAACAGAAAAUAAAAGAAGGCUAAAGAUUUAUCAUUGAUUCAAGAAGCUAAAGAUUUAUUAUUGAUUCAAGAAGCUAAAGAUUUAUCAUUGAUUCAAGAAGCUAAAGAUUUAAAAACAGAUGUUACAAGAAAAGGUAUAGUUAAAAAAAAAAUUAUUUAUAUAUUUAUCAAGAUGACACAAUUAAAUCAGGACAGAAAAAAUGUUAAUACUUUUAAAAAUUUAAUAUUCCUUUUUUUUUAGAUGAGGAUGAAAAUUUUCAAGAACCAGCUAUUAAAAAUCUAAAGCUUAAUGCGGAAGAAAAUCAUAUGAAGGUUAUGAAUAUACUAAAUUCGAUAGUUGGAGAGGAUUAUAAUUGUAUAAACAAAAAAGAUGAUGGAGUUAAGACACCAGAAAAAGCAUA